rnacentral:ncRNA from 2 species
UGCUCAUCAAGAGUUGGUGGAGGGAUUGGCCCAAUGAAACCGCGGCAACCAUUUGGAAAUCCAAAACGGUGCCAAUUCCUGCGGAAUAAUCCGCAAGAUGGGAG